GCAACCCACUCCAGUAUUCUUGCCUGGAGAAUCCCAGGGAUGGCGGAGCCUGGUGGGCUGCCAUCUGUGGGGUCACACAAACUGUGGGGUCGGACACGACUGAAGCGACUUAGCAGCAGCAGACCAGAGGGAAAGGGCCUCGGUGCUUCCUAUCUGGGCUUGGCUGGCCACGCUGACCGCUCUCUGCUGUGGGAAGGGGCAAUCUCCUGUGAAGAUUUGCUUAUGCCUCUGAUCCUGAGAGUUUCUAACAGGGCAAGGGUGGUGAAUCUUCAGUUUUGCCCCUCCUCUAGCCGGGCACAGCCUCCAGCCUCGGCCUCUGGGCCGUGGUGUAAAAUGUGGCACUGGGAGGAUUCGGCAUGUGCCCCAUUCCUCUGUGUUGGAGCACAGUCCUGGUAGUGCAGGACCACAGUGGAACUUACCAUCAGGCCCGUUUGGUAGGUGCUCAGAGAGGUUAAGUGGUUGGCCUGAGCGUGCACAGCAGUCAAGGAGCAGAGGGGACUUCCUUGGUGGUCUAGUGGCCAAGACUCCUGGCUCCCAGUCCAGGGCCCUGGGUUUGAUCCCCGGUCAGGGAACUAGAUGCCACAUGCUGCGACUAAGAGUUCAAAUGCCACAACCAGAGAUCUCGCAUGCUGCAACAAAGAUUGAAGAUCCCGUGUACCCCAACUAAGACCCAGUGUAGCCAAAUAAUUUUGUUUUUUUAAAGGACCAGAGGUGGGAUCCUAGUCCAAAUCAUUUGACUCCAGAGCCCUGCCCCUCAGGGAGCUGAUUCACUCUGUAGAGGAGAUAUAUUUCGUGUUUGGCCUGGAGACACCCUCCCACCCCCGCCACCCGCCCCCCCCACACACAUAUACUCUGUGGAGUUGUAGGGGUGGCAGAGGGGACAAUGACCAAAGGGGAUGGAGACACUUUCUGCUCUUCUUUCUUCUCAGCCACACAGUCUCCAGGCCUUUGCAUCUGGGUCAGAUAGGUCAGUCCCUUCUCAGGGUGGGAGUGCUUCAGGUGGGGCCAGAGGCACCCCUGGGGGCACCCGCCAGGCAGAGGGCUUCCCCAGGAGAAUGACUCAUCCUACCUGGGCUCCUGGGACCUUCCGUACACCCUGGCCUUGAACUGAGGGGAUGGCUGAAGCUCUGGCCGCUGACCAGGUAGGCUGAGAGUAUGGGAGUGUCCGGGUGGAGGGGGAGAGGUCUGAGCUGUCACAUUUGAGUCCUGCAAGUCACAGGGAUGAACCUGGAGAGAAUGCCCGAACCAGCUGAGAGCUGGUCCCCUCAGAUCAGUCUCUGUGUUGUCUGUCGCCUACUGAGCUGGAGAGCUUCUGAGCCUUACAGCCCCAGUGGUUCUCAAACUGAGAGACUUACUGAGGGUGUGGCCCAGGGAUACACAUUUCUAACAAGCUCCCAAGCAGUUAAGAUGCAUGUGGUCCUCUGACUAAACCUGGAAAACCACUGUCCUGGACCUCCCAGCCAGGCAGCCGUGAGAAACCCCUUCUGGAGCCUUCUAGCAGAUCCAGAGCCUGGUGUGUGUGUAAAUGUUUUCCACGACUGGAUUUAAGUGCAUUCCACUCUGCGUUGGGGUGCUGUCAUCAGCUGAGCUUCUUCCCUGUUUAAAAUAAAUGAUGGCGUCUCAAGUGAUAGCUCUGCCUCGAUCCAUCCCUGGCUGUUUCCCCCAAAGAGCAGGCUGCCCCAUCACCCGCUUACGCUGAGCCGCUUACCGCCGGGCUGUCCUGAGCCUUCCCCCUGGGCACACCUCCUCCCAGCUGUCCUUCCCUAAGCCCUCCGGGGUCUGCACCGCCUGCCUGCCUGUGAGCCCCUAAAACUGGGUAUUGCCUAGGAUUCCCUCCUUGGUCCUUUUUUGUCUGAUGCCUUUCCUCAGUUAAAGAGGCAAAAGUGAGGGGGAGGGGUUUCCCUGGCUGUUCAGUGGCUAAGACUCUGUGCUCCCAGUUAAAGGGGUCUGGGUUCAGUCCCUGGUUGGGGAACUAGGUCCCACGUGCUGUGACUAAAGGAUCCUAUAUGCCCUAAGGAAGAUUUCUCUUGCUGCAACUAAGACCCAGCGCAGCCAAAUAAAUAAAUGGAUUUUUCUUAAAGUGAGAGAGGAACCCCAUCUCUAUUCAGGAGAGUCCCCCCAAUGCUACCCAGCUUCUGAGGUGCAUCAGCCCGACAUUUUCAGGGGCGAGCUUGAUAUCUCCCCUCGGCUAACCCCAUGGAGCUCUUCGAUACAGGCUCUGACUUGAGGGGAGUCUGUCCACACCUGUCACCCUGAGGGGGGUCCACCCACCGUGGAUUCCUCGAUCCUCCUUCCAAGCUGUACUCCUGACAGGAAAGAGUGCCUAUCCCAGUAGCCAGGCUUCCUGCUGGAAACUUCUGACUUAUUUCUGCUUUCCCUGUUAAAAGUCAGUGCCCUUUCACCUUCCAGACCCCUGAUUGCACACACACCCCCACCCACCACACGGGUGUCUGUCCUGGUGUCCCAGGCUAGGGGUCUCUUUGUAUUAAUACCUUUUCUUUUAUUCCCGCCCCCCGCCCCCCAUCACACAUCCCUUAAGUCCCUUCAUCUGGCCACUGCAGUUAGGGGCCUUUGAACUCCCCAGUGGCCCCCUCACUUUCUGAGAGCUUGACUCAGCCCAGGGGCGUCAGCUGAGCUGGACUACUUGGAGGCUGCCUGGCUUUUCCCCAUCUGUGUCAGGGGCCACGUGGCGCUGAGUCAGUGCCCCUGCCUGGAGUCGGGGUCUUCAUUCAGAUCCUGGCUUUGCCCUUCCUGGCCUUUAGCCUGGACAGAUUCCUUGAGCCCCCCAAAUUCCCAUUUCCUUGUCUAUAAUGGCAAAGCAGGUAUUAAUAACAGUCUUAUCUCACAAAGCACUUGUGAGGAUUGAUGAUAUGUGACCUUGUGUCUAGAAUUCCUUGGCACAUUUAAUUUAGUUUAAACACUGCUUGGCGCAUUUAAUCCUCAAAACCAUGCUGUCAGAGACUUCGUUGCUAGUCAGGUGGUUAACAGUCAGCCUGCCAAUGCAGGGGACUCAGGUUCGAUCCUUGGUCUGGGAAGAUCCCACGUGCUGCAGGGCAACUAAGCCCGUGUGCCACAACUGUUGAGCCCGAUUGCACCUGGAACCCGUGCUCCACAAUGAAAGAAGCCGCCGCAGUGAGACUCCCGCACGUGGCAGCUGGAGAGAGCCAAGCCUGUGCUGCAGCAAAGCCCCAUGCAGCCAAAAAUAAAAAAUAAAUCUUAAAAAAAAUGCUGUCAGGUAGAAAGUCACUGUCAGGCCCAAUUUGUAGAUGGUGAGGGAGGCUCAAAGAAGCCAGGAAGUUGGGCACGCAGCUGUAAAGCAGCAGAGGUGGGCUUCAGUGGAAAACAGUUCACCCCAGAGCCUGAGCUUCUAACCGCCAAUCCUGACUCUGGGUUCUCUUUCUUCACCUUCUGUUCGUUCGUUCACCCAUUCGGCAGUUAUUUAUGGUGUGCCUACUAUCCAGGGCCGUGGCAUGAAGGAACAGGUGAAACCCCACUUUGUGAAGGUGCAGAGAGGAAGGCCUCAGUUCCUGCAGGAACUCCUGGAGGCAAGUUCCCAGGCUCCUCUUGCACACUCGCUUCCUUGGAGGCACAGGCCAGGAUGCCCAUCUCUCGUCUCCAUUCCUCCUCAUACCUGAAGGUCUGCAGGCGCUGGACUGGAUUAAGGUUUGACCCUUGUGGAGGAGGAGGUGGAUCACAGCAAGACCUGUUGUAGGGCUUGGAAACACUGGAAUCCUCAGGGAGUGGGACAGUGCAGUCACGAAAGGAAUGGGAGUGCAGCUUGGUACCCCAGUGAGGUACCACUUCACCCAGCAGACGGCAGUCACAAAAAAGGAGGGGCAACAGCUAGUGUUGAGGAAGAGAGGGAGGAAUUGGAACGUUCUCCCACUGCUAGUGGGCACGUUGGGCAUAUCAGGUGGUGCGGCCACUGGCAGUUCCUCAGGAUAGAGACCAUUUGACCUGGCGACUUCACUCCCAGGUGUGCACCCAAGAGAAAACACAUGUCCACGAAAAACCUGUACACAGAUGUUCACAGCAGCGUUAUUCACAACAGUCAAAAGGUAGAAACAGCCCGAAGGUCCAUCAAUGGAUGAAUGGAUAAACAAACUGGAAUAUUACUCAGCCAGGAAAAAGACAAGUACUGACACAGGCUACCAUGUGGAUGAAUGACAUCACUUCUUUCAGCAAAAGAAGCCAGACACAAAAGACCACAUACUGUAUGAUUCCUUUGCUCUGAAAUGUUCAGAAUAGGCCAAUCCAUAGAUAGUUAAUAGGUGAGUGGUUGCCAGAGGCUUGGGGCAGGGGCUGGGGUGGCAUGGGUAAGUGGUAAGCAGGGCAGGGUUUCUUUGAGGGUGAUGAAAAUAUUCUAAAAUGGAUUGUGGUUGGAGAAGGAAAGGGCAACCCACUCCAGUGUUCUUGCCUGGAGAAUCCCAGAGACCAGGGAGCCUGGUGAGCUGCUGUCUAUGGGGUCACACACAGUCAGACACGACUGAAGCGACUUAGCAGCAGCAGCAGGGAUAACAACAAGUGUGACGGGAAACGUAGAGGUUCAGAGGAUGACCAGCUCCUUACUGAGCUUGUUUUACAGAAAAAACACAUAUUAUAAGCAGACUGAAGGACUUCUGGGAUGGACUGGACUGGUAUUUCUCUUAGGACUUAAACGUUUCCAUUCUUGGCCCUUCUCUGGUCCUGCAGAAACAAGAACAAGCUCAAUAGAAAAAAUCAAGUUCACUCUAAGUAGCAGUAGCACGUUAUGCAGUAUGUCCAAGGCCAUGCUUAAAAUCAUCAUCUUUAGAGUUAGCCGGGUUACAGGUUAGCCUGUCACAGGCUUUUCCUUGUAGCUCAGUUGGCAAAGAAUCUGCCUGCAGUGCAGGAGAUCCUGGUUUGAUCCCUGGGUCAGGAAGAUCCCCUGGAGAAGGAAAUAGCAACCCAUUCCAGUAUCCUUGCCUAGAAAAUCUCAUGGGCAGAAGAGCCUGGUGGGCUGCAGUCCACGGGGUCGCAAAGAGUCAGGCACAACUGGGCAACUAACCCUUCCUUCCUUAUUUUCUGUCCAGUUCAUCCACGUUUCAGCUGGGUGACUGUGCAAAUUACUGAACCUCUCUGAGCCUUAGUUUACUUCUCUAUUGUGUGGGACUGGAGAUACUACCUCGAAGGUUGAGAAGAUAAAAAAAAUAAAUGAAAGUGCUUAGCCUGCUGUCCAGUAUAAAUGAAGUGGCCAAAUAAUAGUCAUGAUUAUUACUAAUUUAAAAUAAAUAAGAAUAAAACUGAAAAAAAUAAAAUAAAAUGGAUUGUGGUGAGGGUUGCACCACAUUGAAAUACUGAAAAAUCACUGAAUUGUAUACAUUAAAAUGGUAAGUUAUAUACUAUGUGACUUAUAUUGCAAUAAAGCUUUUAUUUAAAAAAAAAAACUAGCCAGGAGCCUUCGCUGGGGGGACAGUGGUUAACACACUGCGUUUCCAGUGCCGGGGACUCGAGUUUGCUCCCUGGUUGGGAAACUAAGAUCCCACAUGCCACACAACAUGGUCAAAAAAAAAAAGAAUAAUUAGCCAGACUUCCCUGCAUCAAUGCUGACAGAAGGCACGAACACAAGAACUCAAAAACUUUCUGAGGAAUCGAGAGACAUUCUUUGGGGUUGCUUUGCUGUAGUUCUCGGGACAUAGAGAAGUGACUGUAGAUAAGGUUUCCGUUCAUCCUUCAGAUCUCAGCUUACACGUGACUCCUGAGAGAGACCCUCCCUUUGUUACAUGUCCUCUGUCUCAGCCUCUUCUUUCUUUCUUAAAGAGUUCUUCCUGCACUUGGAAUUGUUGUCUGUCUGUGGAGCUAAUUCUGACUCUUGCUGGGUCUGGUUCCAGCCAGUCAGGGGCUUGCCUCUCUCUUGCUUGCCCCAUAGUAGGUGCUCAGUAAAUUCCUGCAGCGUGAAUGAACAGCAAGUACUGAUAACAGCCGGGGCGCCGGGCUGGGCUGGGGUCUGCACUCCCUGCAGGGGAGAGAGCCAGCAGGGCGGGUCGGGGUGCCUCCCAGCCCCAGUGGCUUUCUUUUUCUCUGUUCCAGUUCCAGGAGAAUGUCUCUGGAAAGGAAGCCCAAAGCCCGGUUUGGCUGGGAAGAGGCGGGCAGGGAGGGGAGCAGGGGCCGGGCGGGCCUGGGGAGGAAGUCUGCAGCCCUAGGCUGCCGAGGGCGCGGCGUCUGUGUUCGCACCUUUGGAAUGUGGCUGAUUCACUCUGAGGGGAGGCAGGCAGCCACUGCUGCCGCCGGCCGCCGCCUCCGACUCGGAUCCGACAUCUGGAGGCUGGAUUCCAGGAGGAGAGAUGGAGUCUUGCAGGCAGAUGUCAGCUUUGAAGGUCAAAGCGAGCAAGGGAGCCAAGGAGGAAGAGGCUGCCAGGGUCCCACGCUUCCCCACCCAGGAUUCUGGAAGAGAGUGCUGACAGGAUCCCCCUCCUGCAGGUGAGGAAGCCGAGGCUCAGAGAGGUGAGCCAAGGUCACGUCACAGCUGGAAGCCAUGGAGCCAGGACCCUCCUGCCUCCUGGUCAACAGACCCUCGUGUUUCUUCCUGUAUUUAGCAGAGCUUUGCCCACUGUUACUGCACAGUAGGUGCUGCUGACUCUUCAAACAAGGGCCAUGCACACCCGAAGUCCCAGAAGUCCUCUGUGAUCUGUCAAGCAGAUGGAGUUCUUGCCCUACACAUCCUUCAGCUUCCCUCUUGCACCUGGCCUUACCUGGGCAGGGCUGGGCCCCUGGGACCAGAUGGAGGGACCACAGGAUAAGAGCCUGAGAAUGGUCUACAGGAGCCAACAACCCACGACGAUGGGACCUCAGUCCUACAGCCACAGGAACUGAAUCCUGCUGACAACCAGUGAGUUUGGAAAACCAUCCAAGGCCCUGAUGAGAUUGUAGACCUGCCAACGCCUCAGUUUCACUCGGCAGGACUUUGAGCUGAGAGCCCAGCCAUACCACGUCUGGCAAUGAUAAAUGGUACUGUUUCAAGCCAAUGCUGCUGCUGCUAAGUCGCUUCAGUCGUGUCCGACUCUGUGACCCCAUAGACGGCAGCCCACCAGGCUCCUCCGUCCCUGGGAUUCUCCAGGCGAGAACACUGGAGUGGGUUGCCAUU